UCUUAAGGCUGAGACACGACGUCGAGCUACUACGGUAGUGAAGUCAUUGAUGCCAUGCUUCCAGGAAAAGCCUCUAAGCUUCAGAUUGUAAGGAAUCGUACCCCAAACCGACACAGGUGGUCGGGUAGAGAAUACCAAGGCGCUUGAGAGAACUCGGGUGAAGGAACUAGGCAAAAUGGUACCGUAACUUCGGGAGAAGGUACGCUCUUGAUGGUGAAGUCCCUCGCGGAUGGAGCUGACGAGAGUCGCAGAUACCAGGUGGCUGCAACUGUUUAUUAAAAACACAGCACUGUGCAAAAUCGUAAGAUGACGUAUACGGUGUGACGCCUGCCCGGUGCCGGAAGGUUAAUUGAUGGGGUUAGACUUCGGUCGAAGCUCUUGAUCGAAGCCCCGGUAAACGGCGGCCGUAACUAUAACGGUCCUAAGGUAGCGAAAUUCCUUGUCGGGUAAGUUCCGACCUGCACGAAUGGCGUAAUGAUGGCCACGCUGUCUCCACCCGAGACUCAGUGAAAUUGAAAUCGCUGUGAAGAUGCAGUGUACCCGCGGCUAGACGGAAAGACCCCGUGAACCUUUACUACAGCUUGGCACUGAACAUUGACCCUACAUGUGUAGGAUAGGUGGGAGGCUUUGAAGCAAGUACGCCAGUAUUUGUGGAGCCGUCCUUGAAAUACCACCCUUGUAGUGUUGAUGUUCUAACGUCGACCCCUAAUCGGGGUUGCGGACAGUGCCUGGUGGGUAGUUUGACUGGGGCGGUCUCCUCCCAAAGAGUAACGGAGGAGCACGAAGGUGGGCUAAUCACGGUUGGACAUCGUGAGGUUAGUGCAAUGGCAUAAGCCCGCUUGACUGCGAGAAUGACAAUUCGAGCAGGUGCGAAAGCAGGUCAUAGUGAUCCGGUGGUUCUGAAUGGAAGGGCCAUCGCUCAACGGAUAAAAGGUACUCCGGGGAUAACAGGCUGAUACCGCCCAAGAGUUCAUAUCGACGGCGGUGUUUGGCACCUCGAUGUCGGCUCAUCACAUCCUGGGGCUGAAGUCGGUCCCAAGGGUAUGGCUGUUCGCCAUUUAAAGUGGUACGCGAGCUGGGUUUAGAACGUCGUGAGACAGUUCGGUCCCUAUCUGCCGUGGGCGUUGGAAGAUUGAAGGGGGCUGCUCCUAGUACGAGAGGACCGGAGUGGACGAACCUCUGGUGUUCGGGUUGUGUCGCCAGACGCAUUGCCCGGUAGCUAAGUUCGGAAUCGAUAACCGCUGAAAGCAUCUAAGCGGGAAGCGAGCCCUGAGAUGAGUCUUCCCUGAUACUUUAAGUAUCCUAAAGGGUUGUUCGAGACUAGAACGUUGAUAGGCAGGGUGUGUAAGCGUUGUGAGGCGUUGAGCUAACCUGUACUAAUUGCCCGUGAGGCUUAACCAU
rnacentral:rRNA from 1 species